CCCAGCUCGUCAUGCUAGAGCACUUUUUCAAUGGGCUCCCCAACGACAAGGCGACAACGCAUUCGUAUGUCAUCCAUAUCAACUUUUGAUGCCACUUUCUGCGCCUACCAUGGUGAUCACGGGUAAUGGGGAAUCAGGGUUCAAUUCCAGAGAGGGAGCCUGAGAAAUGGCUACCACAUGCAAAGUAGGCAGCAGGCGCGCAAAUGACCCACUCCCGACACGGGAAGGUAGUGAUG